CUCUCACUGCAGCCGUUUCUUCACAGGGUGAUCCUCACAGAAACACUCAAAGCCUUCUGUUACGUACAAAGGACCGCGUGUCAGUAAUCUACAGCCAUUUACCAGUUACCAAGAAAACACGGACGUUUCCACUAAAAAUCGCAAACGUUUCUUUCAAGCAAGGAGCGCCCUGCGCCAGAGGCUGUGGGAGGAGUGAGGAGUCUGGGUUCGUUCCAGCCGCAGGACAUGGAUGAAGCUGGAAACCAUCAUUCUCAGCAAACUAACACAGGAACAGAAAACCAAACACCGCAUGUUCUCACUUAUGAGGACAGCUCUGUGCCAGAGAAUGAGCUGGGAUCUGCCCUGACAAGUGGAGCCUCGUUUGAAAGUGUCGGUAACAGGCUCUGUGUCUGAACCAAAGUUUCCCUUGCAACCUGGUGUGGCUGCAUGAUGGAGUUUGGGCCGUGACAUAUGGUGGGUUUGACGUGUGCCACUCUUAGGGCCAACUUCUAAAGCCUCCAAGACACAGCCCCAUGCCCUGUGCCCUUCUGCAGCUCAGAGCAGAUGAGCCCAGUGACCUUGAGGCCCUUGAAGAUGGUGGAACCAGGAGACAUGAGGGGCCUUGGCCUGGAAACACAACUCGAAGGGAAAUCACUCAUCUGGAAAACGUGUUUGGACCCAUACCACACCGUGGCAAAUACCUGGUAAAACUGUCAUCUGAAAUUGCUUGGAAAUAGGACACUACCACCUAAACCCACAGCUCGUAGGCCAGGGCACCUCAACUGUAGUCCCCAGACCAGCAGCAUCGGUGUUACCUGGAAAAUUAAAAAUGCAAAGUUUUGGGCCCACUUCAGACCCCAGGUCAGAAAUUGUGGGUUGCAGAAAUCUGUGUUUUAAUAACCCUUCAGAUGACUGUGGUGCCCGACAAAGUUGAAAUGCCUGCUCCCAUGUGUGCUGGGUUUAGUUUGUGCUUUAGCAAAGCGGGAUAAGAAAGAAAGGAGGCCAGGAUGGAAUUCGCUGGUUUCCAACUAGAAGUGACAGAAAAUAGAAAGAGUCCAGUAAUGUGAGGUCUUGAAGUGUUGGGAGAAUUCAUUCAUCACUUCUAGAUUCCAGACAAUCAGAAAUAAAAUUUUAAAAGUCUUUCAAUGACAAACUAAGACUUCUCAGUUGGGAAAAAAAAAAAAAAAGGACUCAGUCUUGUUGCAGACAUGAGAUGAAGAGUGUGGUCUUUUCACAAAUGCCUGUGCAAGGGAGUCAAGGACAGAAGCCAUCCGGUGGGCUCCUUGGCACGGGGGCGGCUGAAGCAAACCAACCAGGAGCCCACGCAGCUGUCAAGGGCUUGUGUCAGCAAGUAAAGCCUAGACUGCUUGUGACUGUGAAGUGUAAAAGUGCCCCUGGGUCCUCAGGCCUGUGGACAGGACAAAGCCAAAGCCGCCCAGCGCCGUGUGAUGCGGCCACAGAGAACACGAGCCUCGGGAGAGAGGAGCCUGGGGCUGGAAAACAAGGGUGAAGGACGCUCCCCUCUGGCUGCAGGAGAGGGGCUGCUGAGGGCAAGAUCCAUCAUUUCUUGGGACCAAUGAUGCUGCUUCCUACUCUCUGCUUUCUGCCUGGGAGUUUUGUCUGGGACGCCUGUGUCUGCCCCACUCACUGUGUGGUGCAAGCUCCAUUUCCAGUGAGGACAACCGUGGCUGCCGAGAGCACCUUACAAGCCAGGCAUCCUCCUCUGAGCUCAAGGCAGCCUUGAGAAGUGGGACGAAGACUUCCUUCACGGGAAGAGGAGCGGCUCAGAGAAAGGAAGAGGCUAGUCCAGAACCACCACGUGGACAUCUUCUGUGAAGGCAAGGGCUCACCCUCACCCUGACGCCAGCCACCUGCCCCUCUUAAUAGGAGGGCGGGCCCUCCCCGCACAGCAGGCACUUCACUGCAGGCUCUGCUGCCUUUGGGAAAUGUGCCUCCCUUGUAGAGCUCUGUGGUGCAGAUUCGGCUAUCAAAGGAGUAGAACCCCCCCCUCCCCCCCGCCACCGUCCCACCCCCACAGAGCAGCUAAGAAAGCUGUUUGAUUUAACCCGUGGUUUCCCAAAUACUUUAGACCACUAAUUAAUUUUGUUUUCUGAAACAUUCGUUAAUAUGUUCACAGAAAAUUGUGGCAUUCACUUUGGAAAAUAUAUCUGUUUAAGAACAGAUAAUGAAUACAUAACAAAUUUAGAACUGUGUUAAGAUUCCAUAACUAAAACCACUCUAAACUUUCUGAAAUGGCUGAAAACGUUUCCCUAACUUUUCUGAAAGUACUUGCUGGGCUUCUUGGAGACUGAAUCAUCCCUUUUGAGCCCACUUAGGGGAAAGUUCAAAAGACCUCAGAGAAGACAAAAAGCAGGGCAAGAGAGACGGCCCAGUCUUCUAGCUCUCCACUGGAGAAAAUGCAUGUG
rnacentral:lncRNA from 1 species